UUUUUUUUCAAAGGCAGCCAAGAAAGAAUCCCGAUUCCCUAAUCGUAAAAGAAACACAAACCCUUUUCUUCCCUUCUCCAAUUGCACCGCAAAAACCAUAUCUAAUCAUCCCACAUCAACCCCUAGACUCUUCACUCCAAAGCAUACUCAGUCCACUCUCCAAUUGAAAACUCUUUACCCCCAUCCUCUCAAGCAAAUCUCGAUUUGUCUUUCCAAUCCAUGUAUUUUUUUCUUUCUUUUUUGAGGGCUUUUGGUUUUUGAUUUGUUUACUUUUUCUUUGUCAUUUUCCGAAAUAGAUUGUAGUAUUUCAUUGUCACUGUGCGUUGUGUAUAUUUUUGAGAAAUUUGCUUCGUCCUUCCCGAACUUAUUGUCCUAGUAGCAACUUUGCCCCCAACAUUUUAUUAUAGUAGUUGCAAGAUUAAUAGAAAAUGUCCAAAUUUUUAUUAAAUCAUGGCCCUCUUUUGUUCAAUUUUGUGAAGCUAGAUUCUGCUUUCCAAUUUGGAUGGUUGUGGUUAUAUUCUUUUUGCUUUCUGUUUAGCUGGUAAUAUAACUAUUUUCUUAAAGAGAGAGAGAGAGAGAGAACUGGAUUUUGUUGUAGUAUAAUUGAUUUGGGAAUUUAUGUUUAUGAAAUUACAUUUGCGAAUUGUGAUUUAUGAUAAGUGAUUUAUGUUUUAUGAGUUAUGAUUAUUGAUUUGGAAAUUUAAAAAACUUAAGAAUGAGAUAAUAUUGUAACGUUUUCAAAACAUGAGACCCCAUAAAAUACAGUUGUCUAAAUUUACAGUUACAAAGUGACUGAGUAAAGUUGUAGCGUAUAUUUUUUUUAACAUUUUGGAUUAUAUUGAAGUAUAUUUUCAUAUGUAUAUAAUUUUGAUGUUUAGUUCAUUUACAUAUAUAUCGAAUAACUUUUAAUAUUAUUAAUCAAAUUUUAAUAAACGAUCGGGCUAUUACAAUCGUUCAUUGUCGACGGUAAACAGUCAACCUCCGUCCUAGCAGAACUUCAAUCUUGGAUUCACGCUUGAUGGUAUGGUCUAUAAUUAAGCAACAAUUUACUUAAACUUUUGUAUUCUUUUUAGCUUGUGUUUCUAUUGGUCAUCUUAUUAUUUAAAAUAUAUCAAAAUAAAUUACACGUUCUUUGGGACGUAAGAAGAAGGCCUUGAAUUUCCAACUUGUUUGAAAUUGUUUGUGAUAUUUUGGCCAAGUAAUCUUUGAAAUACAUGAAAUUAUUGGCUAUGGCUCAUAAUUUUGUCUAUUUUAUUUAUCUAAUGCCUAUUUUAAGACUAUAGGGGCUUGAUUAUUUUUACAAUAUGGGGGAGACAUUACAUGCUUUUUAAUUUCCCAAGUUCAUAUUUUUUGGCACUUGGGAUGUUCUUAAAUUCGUUGCCCAUUUAUGUUAUAAUUAUUUGGUUCUUUGUUGAUUAUGGGUGAAUGACAUUCAACAAUAUUUAGUUGUUCACCAGUUAUGAGUACCCAUAUUAUAUCCAAGCAUUUCAUUGAAUUGUCAUGAAUCCUUGAAGAAGGAAAAGAAAAAAAGCUCUAAACUAAUAUUAGUACAAUUGAACUAGAAAUUCAAUAACUCUAAAUAUUAUUUGACCUGGUCGGAUCAACAAUGUUUCGAAAUAAGAAUUCGAAUAAAUGGUAAUUGAAGAACCAUAAGAUUCUUCAACUAAUGAAUUCUCUUAUGAUGCUUGUUCUCUGUAUUGAAGUUAAGCCAUCGAUCAUCGCUAGCUAUAACUAGAUUGAAUCCCUAUAUUGAAAACUUGUUAGGAUAAUACAUGAGGCUCCGUCACUCUCGAUGUUGACCAUUUAGAUAUUAUUCUAUCAUACAUAUGUGUGAUGAUUGCACGGUGUUAUUAUAUGUUUGCAACCUAAAGUUUGCAAGACUACUUGCUCAUAUUUUAGAUUAUGACCAUAAUUUUUAGAUGAGGAAAUUGCAUCUCAUGUCACUUUUUGGAUUGGUAUUUUUAAAAAUGUCACAUUUUAAUAAUCUUUGCAAGAAUGUUAAUUUUGGACUUUUUUACCCUCUCAAAAAUCUAAUUACCUUGCAUGUCAUUAAUUAAAGUUGAUUUGACUAGAUGAAAAAAUGGUUCAAAAAACGAAAAAAUAUCACAUCAAAUCAUCCACCCUUAUUUUUUAAAACCAUUUUCCAAUUUUGUACGUAUUCCCAUUUUGCAAGCCCACUUGCUAAACCUAUUUCACAUUGCAAACUAAACCCAUUUCACACAAAAAUGGUGAAGAAGAAUGUGAAGAAUUUCCAUCCCCACAAUAAUCACUUUCCCAUCUCACGAUCGAUAACCCACACCUAGUUGGAAUACAUUUCAAGUUCAAUAUCUGAUUGUUCAUAUUUGGCUCCAAAUUCAAAUUGAGGUAAAUGCCACUUUCAUUUUUUUAGAUUUACAUGUUUUGAAUAAUUUAUACUUUAAUUGUGUUAUGGUUGGUUGCAAUCUGACAAAAAACGAAAAAAUAUCACAUCAAAUCAUCCACCCUUACUUUUUAAAACCAUUUUCCAAUUUUGUACGUAUUCCCAUUUUGCAAGCCCACUUGCCAAACCUAUUUCACAUUGCAAACUAAACCCAUUUCACACAAAAAUGGUGAAGAAGAAUUUGAAGAAUUUCCAUCCCCACAAUAAUCACUUUCCCAUCUCACGAUCGAUAACCCACACCUAGUUGGAAUACAUUUCAAGUUCAAUAUCUGAUUGUUCAUAUUUGGCUCCAAAUUCAAAUCGAGGUAAAUGCCACUUUCAUUUUUUUAGAUUUACAUGUUUUGAAUAAUUUAUACUUUAAUUGUGUUAUGGUUGGUUGCAAUUUGAACAUUUUGGAUUAUAUUGAAGUAUAUUUUCAUAUGUAUAUAAUUUUGAUGUUUAGUUCAUUUACAUAUAUAUCGAAUAACUUUUAAUAUUAUUAAUCAAAUUUUAAUAAACGAUCGGGCUAUUACAAUCGUUCAUUGUCGACGGUAAACAGUCAACCUCCGUCCUAGCAGAACUUCAAUCUUGGAUUCACGCUUGAUGGUAUGGUCUAUAAUUAAGCAACAAUUUACUUAAACUUUUGUAUUCUUUUUAGCUUGUGUUUCUAUUGGUCAUCUUAUUAUUUAAAAUAUAUCAAAAUAAAUUACACGUUCUUUGGGACGUAAGAAGAAGGCCUUGAAUUUCCAACUUGUUUGAAAUUGUUUGUGAUAUUUUGGCCAAGUAAUCUUUGAAAUACAUGAAAUUAUUGGCUAUGGCUCAUAAUUUUGUCUAUUUUAUUUAUCUAAUGCCUAUUUUAAGACUAUAGGGGCUUGAUUAUUUUUACAAUAUGGGGGAGACAUUACAUGCUUUUUAAUUUCCCAAGUUCAUAUUUUUUGGCACUUGGGAUGUUCUUAAAUUCGUUGCCCAUUUAUGUUAUAAUUAUUUGGUUCUUUGUUGAUUAUGGGUGAAUGACAUUCAACAAUAUUUAGUUGUUCACCAGUUAUGAGUACCCAUAUUAUAUCCAAGCAUUUCAUUGAAUUGUCAUGAAUCCUUGAAGAAGGAAAAGAAAAAAAGCUCUAAACUAAUAUUAGUACAAUUGAACUAGAAAUUCAAUAACUCUAAAUAUUAUUUGACCUGGUCAAUUAAAUCAUCAGUGGAUCAACAAUGUUUCGAAAUAAGAAUUCGAAUAAAUGGUAAUUGAAGAACCAUAAGAUUCUUCAACUAAUGAAUUCUCGUAUGAUGCUUGUUCUCUGUAUUGAAGUUAAGUCAUCGAUCAUCGCUAGCUAUAACUAGAUUGAAUCCCUAUAUUGAAAACUUGUUAGGAUAAUACAUGAGGCUCCGUCACUCUCGAUGUUGACCAUUUAGAUAUUAUUCUAUCAUACAUGUGUGAUGAUUGCACGGUGUUAUUAUAUGUUUGCAACCUAAAGUUUGCAAGACUACUUGCUCAUAUUUUAGAUUAUGAGCAUAAUUUUUAGAUGAGGAAAUUGCAUCUCAUGUCACUUUUUGGAUUGGUAUUUUUAAAAAUGUCACAUUUUAAUAAUCUUUGCAAGAAUGUUAAUUUUGGACUUUUUUACCCUCUCAAAAAUCUAAUUACCUUGCAUGUCAUUAAUUAAAGUUGAUUUGACUAGAUGAAAAAAUGGUUCAAAAAACGAAAAAAUAUCACAUCAAAUCAUCCACCCUUACUUUUUAAAACCAUUUUCCAAUUUUGUACGUAUUCCCAUUUUGCAAGCCCACUUGCCAAACCUAUUUCACAUUGCAAACUAAACCCAUUUCACACAAAAAUGGUGAAGAAGAAUGUGAAGAAUUUCCAUCCCCACAAUAAUCACUUUCCCAUCUCACGAUCGAUAACCCACACCUAGUUGGAAUACAUUUCAAGUUCAAUAUCUGAUUGUUCAUAUUUGGCUCCAAAUUCAAAUUGAGGUAAAUGCCACUUUCAUUUUUUUAGAUUUACAUGUUUUGAAUAAUUUAUACUUUAAUUGUGUUAUGGUUGGUUGCAAUCUGAAGUUGAGGGGGUGGGGGGGAAUUCGUAUAUAUGGUUUCGAUUUAAUAAGUGACCAUAUUCAAGCUCCUAAAAAAAUUGAGAUUUUGAAACAUUUUCCAUAUAAUGUUGGGUAGAAUUAUUUAGUUUGUUUGAUUUUUUUGGUUUAAGAAAAAUCUAGAUUUGUUCCUUUAUUUUUUCUCCUUCUAUGUAGUAUUCCUAUUUUUUGAGUUAGAUUUGUUCAUUUAGACUUGUAACUAGGAUUACUUAAUUUUUAACGACAUAUAUGCUCUCUGUUUAUGAAAAAGCGAAAAUAUGUGAAAAAUGUAGUGCGCUCUUGUUUAAUGAAUUACAUUUAGGUUGCACUUGAAAGUAAGAAUAUAUGAAACUUUAGUACACUCUUGUUUAGUGUUAGUUGUAUGAUUUUGACAAUUUUACUUGAUUUUGAAGUUUUAUAGAGAAUUACUUUCCGAAUAUGUUAUUGUUUUGUGGGAUAUCGUUGAAGUAAAUUAUUGUCAUACUGUGUUAUGAAUUUAAGUUUGCAUGAAGUUUGUCUCAUUUUUUAAUUUAUAAAUCAAUUUAGUUACAUUUAUUUGUAAGCUUGUUUAUUUAUCUAUACAUUUUGAUAUUUUUUAUCGAGUCAUUGAUUCAAUUUUGAAUAAAUAAGGAGUUAUGUUUACUCUGUGAUUAUGUUUUCUCAAAGAUUUGAUUAUUCAAUUUGUAAGUACAAUAAUUUAAAUGCAUAUGUUGGGAUCUUUUUUAUCUUUUACUGACAGUGAGUUGUUAAAUCGAUUUAUGGUCUGUUCACUUAUCGUUUGGAUUGAAUUUUUGAGUUUAAUUUGAAUGUGGGCUAAAUUUGUGAGUUCAUAUGUUUUUGAAUUUGAUGUAAUGUGAUUUAAUUUGAGGAUUUAAAUAUUUGAUUCAUGAUAACAUAUGGAUAAUUCACAUAUUGUUCUUAUGGAAUCCAUAUGUCGAGAUAAACUAUCAUUCUUGACAGCUAUGAUAUGAAAUUCUCGAUAGUUGGUUAUUGUUCCUCAACAAUUAUUAUACAAUGUCAAACUUGUUUCAUAUGCUCUUCCACGUGUGUUACAAAGUAAAUAUAUUAAAUAUUAUAAUUUGAUUUUUGGUAUUUGUUCAUGCUACCGAUUUUUCAAUAGAUUAACAAACUAUAAUGCCAUUGGAGGAUUGCUUGAAGGAUACGUCAGCACCAUCUUCUAGUAAAGGUUGUGCCCUCAAAUGCUACCGAUCUAAUUGAAAAUGAAGAAGUGAUGGUGAUGAAGAAAUGAUGCUCAACGCAAAUUCGAAUACUGUCUGCUUUGAAACCUUUUCCAAUGCAAUAAAGUUACAUAGUGCAUUUAUCUUUGAUAAAGAGGUAUUUUUCAUGGGUUUACUUUGGUAUCGUGUUCAUAUUAUUGUACAAAAGUUCUUCACCUUAAUAUAGUAACAAAAAUUAAAAUAUUCGGUUCAGGCUAUGUUGUUCAGUCUUCAGGCACUAACGCUUACUUGCGGUCAUAUGUUCAUUAAUUUCCCUCAAAGUAAGCUAUACCUUUCUUGAGACUAGAACUCCAUGCACGAGGAGUGGUAAAAAACGAAGAAAAACAUGAAAUAAUUGAAUUUUGAUGAACUAAAAUUAUUGUCGUCCCUCUUUGAAGGGUUGAGAAUCGUGAAAUUUUCUAAGUUAUGAAACUCAUGUACCUAAUCUUUGUAAGUAUAACUUAUUUUCGUAUAUGUGUAGUUUAUUUUGUAGUUUUGCGAAAAUAUAGUUGUUUAGCCAUUGUGUAACUUGAUUAUGUGACUGUUACUAGUUGUGUAUUAUAAUUAUGGUCAAGUUUAGGUAUAUUUAGCCAAGUGCAAAAAAUUAUAUGGACAUUCUAAUUUCUUUUCAAUUUAAUCAACUGCCCUGUGUGAUAUAAUGACCAUCCUUUACUUGAAAUGAUGAGAUGUUGCAUGAUGUGGAAAUCCAAUGAAUAAAUUUGGAUGAUGUUAGUGAUUCAUAUACAUUAAUCGAUCGUCUUGUCAUGGUUACUGUAUCUACGCAUUGCUAUAUAUCCAUUAUAUUAUCUAGUUUGUUACAAACCGUUAUUUAUUUUUUGAUUUGUCUUGUGUCAAACUUGCCAACAUACAAUUGUCGAAAAUUAGUGCCCAAAAAGUUUGUUAAUACUAUGAUAAACACUAUUUGGUGAUUGUGUACUGAAUGACCAUAGUAGGGACAAUUUUCCAAGAAUUUGAUUAUAAACAUGCUACAAUUCUCCAAGAAUUUGAUUAUAAACAUGCUAUUUGGUUUAUAUAUGUGCUUAUAAGUCUCCUAGAAUUGUCGUUUCCAUUUAUGCUAUGUUUGCUAGAUGUAGGGUGUAUGUUGUUAAUUUUUGUGAUAUGUGAACUUAUCAAUUUAUCAUACAUCAUUAUCUCUAUCGUUUAUUUUGCAUGCGACAUUUGGAAUAUUGCGUUCAUCCAUGGGAAUCAACCAAUCAUACGUUCUGAAUGAGCCUCCGACAAUAUCUUAUUCUUCCCCGAUAUUUUCCAUCAUAGUCGUAUUGAAUGAUAAGGAAGUCACCUCUCUGAAGGUUUCACCUCCUAAGAUUAUUGUCAUAAGCUUAGACGAUUCUGAUGAAGACAAUGGGAGGAACAAUCAAAUGUCGAUGACUAUUGAUGUGGGCAAAAUUUGUGUACAUCAUUGACUAUAAUUAUUUAUUGUAGUUUUGUCAUGGAUUCAUAUGCUAACGUCUGUACAGAAUGUUAUGCAACAACAUAUCCAAUAUGCAUCUUAUUUGUAGUUAAGUUUUCAAGUUUGCAA
rnacentral:lncRNA from 1 species